GUGCAGCAGGCGAGAAACCUUUACCAUGCACGAAAGUGUGAUAAGGUUAUCCGGAGUGCCCAGAGAAAAACUGUGGGCUGUUAUAGGUGUGUAGAUAACCCUAUGAGAAAGGAGAGGGCAAGGCUGGUGCCAGCCGCCGCGGUAAAAACCAGCUCUUCAAGUGGUCGGGACUUUUAUUGGGCUUAAAAGUGUCCGUAGCCUGUUUGGUAAGUUCCUGGUUAAAAUAUGGCAGCUUAACUGUCACUUGGCUAGGAAUACUGCCUUACUAGAGGGUGGGAAAGGUUUGGGGUACUCCAGGGGUAGCGGUGAAAUGCGAUAAUCCUUGGGGGACCACCAGUGGCGAAGGCGCCAGACUGGAACACGCCUGACGGUGAGGGACGAAAAGCCAGGGGAGCGAACGGGAUUAGAUACCCGGGUAGU
rnacentral:rRNA from 1 species